GUGCCUGUAGUUCAGAGGUAGAGCGCCAGAAUGUGGAUCUGGUUGUCGUGGGUUCAAUUCCCAUCAGGCACC
rnacentral:tRNA from 1 species